rnacentral:rRNA from 1 species
GAACGCUAGCGCAGGCUUUAAUACAUGCAAGUCGUGGGGCAGCAUGAGUAGCAAUACUUGAUGGCGACCGGCAAACGGGUGAGGAACACGUACACAACCUUCCUUCAAGCGGGGAAUAGCCCAGAGAAAUUUGGAUUAAUACCCCAUAAUAUAUUUGAUAAGGCAUCUUAUUAAUAUUAAAGCUUCGGCACUUGAUGAUGGGUGUGCGGCUGAUUAGAUAGUUGGCGGGGUAACGGCCCACCAAGUCUACGAUCAGUAGCUGAUGUGAGAGCAUGAUCAGCCACACGGGCACUGGGACACGGGCCCGACUCCUACGGGAGGCAGCAGUAAGGAAUAUUGGACAAUGGACGAAAGUCUGAUCCAGCCAUGCCGCGUGAAGGAUUAAGGUCCUCUGGAUUGUAAACUUCUUUUAUAUGGGACGAAAAAAGGGCAUUCUUGUUCACUUGACGGUACCAUAUGAAUAAGCACCGGCUAACUCCGUG